UAUACAUGCAGUCGAGCGAACAGAGAAGGAGCUUGCUCCUUYGACGUUAGCGGCGGACGGGUGAGUAACACGUGGGCAACCUACCUUAUAGUUUGGGAUAACUCCGGGAAACCGGGGCUAAUACCGAAUAAUCUGUUUCACCUCAUGGUGAAACACUGAAAGACGGUUUCGGCUGUCGCUAUAGGAUGGGCCCGSGGSCSCAUURSCUAGUUGGUGAGGWAASGGCUCACCAAGGCGACGAUGSGURGCCGACCUGAGAGGGUGAUCGGCCACACUGGGACUGAGACACGGCCCAGACUCCUACGGGAGGCAGCAGUAGGGAAUCUUCCACAAUGGGCGAAAGCCUGAUGGAGCAACGCCGCGUGAGUGAAGAAGGAUUUCGGUUCGUAAAACUCUGUUGUAAGGGAAGAACAAGUACAGUAGUAACUGGCUGUACCUUGACGGUACCUUAUUAGAAAGCCACGGCUAACUACGUGCCAGCAGCCGCGGUAAUACGUAGGUGGCAAGCGUUGUCCGGAAUUAUUGGG
rnacentral:rRNA from 1 species